rnacentral:lncRNA from 1 species
GCCGAGCUAAUUAACGCAAGCUUAUAACCCAAGUGGGGGCAUCAAAGUGUUGGAACGCUGGUCUGGUCUCAGCUGGUCGGGUCUGUCGUGGCUCUAUUCUGGCCCGCCCGCUCCAAGCCGGGAGUUGAGCCGUGUGGAUUGGGCGAAGGCUCAGGCUUCACGGUUCCUAGAGCGGAGGGCACCGCGUAAGGCUGGCUUCACAGAGCAACGAUCACCUCCCGCCCUUGGCAGUGGAAGGAUAACGGGUCGGUGCCACCCGGAUCCAUCAUGCCCCGCUGGACCGUUCCAAUUGAACCAACGCUUUUUGUAUUUUUUUGCUUUCUUUACCGUAAAUCUCUGUUUUAAUUCGAAUGCUUUUGUGGCGUAUACCAAAAUCCCAAAUCAUCUGACUCAUUUAAACAUCUGUGGUGCUGAUUUUGGUGGUGCCGGCGACGCAUUGCCGGAGCAGUGGUGGUGCAACAAAACUCGGAAAAAAUGUUGACUUCGCUGAAAACAUAGUUGGCGCAAAUGCAAUCGUCUUCCUUUUCGACAAUGGCAUUACAGCAAUCUUGUUGAAUGGCCGGUUAUCGAGUCCGAUAAGAUACACAAAUCUCAUCGUAACAAGUAGCAGAAGCAGUGUGGUAAGCUCCAAGGAACUUUUCAAGCUUAGGAUGGGGGGAGAGAGCCGGUGUUUUGGGUGGAGCAGGAGAGCUGGAAUCGGAAGCAGCCAAGCGUUGUGUCAGUGCUUAAACAAAAGAGAAGGAAAAACACAGCAAGCACUCCUCCUUUCAUCAUCUUUGCUAAAUUUGAUGAAUCACAAGUGAAAUAUAAGUGAGUUGAGUUGCAUGGUGAAUGUCAAAACUUAAAUUGAUAAUUAUCAACAUUUAAAUGAGAUUGAUUUGAUUGUAUCGAUCCAAUUAGUUGAUCGGCGUUAGUCUCAUCUCCUCCAGAAGCAAAAUCCAAGUGUUUUAGUGUCCUUACCCAACCUACAGCCGCAUCACCCCACUCGCUCCCACACCAGGUAGUUCUAAUGGUGCUUCCUUUUCUCAACACUGAGUAAUCUUAUUAUUUUUAAUUUCUUGCAGGAACUUUAAUCCAUAUACAUGAUCACUUGAAAUUUUACCCUUAAAUAAAAAGAAAUGGGAAGAUAAUUGUGUGAGAGUAUGCAGAAUCUAAACUUUAGGAACACCACUUGUCGUUUUGAGUUUUUUUCUUUUGGGAGUUUUAAUUGUCGAUUCAUCCCUUUUUUAAUGUUUGUCCACAACAACGUAAAUCUCAAACUCCCGAAGUUGCGAUUGAGAAAUACAAUUUGAUUAAAUGUGGCCAAAAUUUUGAGUUGCCAAAGUACAAGUUAAGAGAGAACCACAACAACUACAACUUGUCUCACAUCGACAAUCAGCAGCUAUAAACAACGCUUUAUAUGUUGUGCACAAGCCGCACAUCCCGUCGAGCUUAGCAACGCAAGCUUGUAACCCGAGUGGGGACAUUAAGGUGUUGGGACGCUGGUUCUGUCUUAAGCCGGCCGGGUCCGAUGUGGCUCUUUUCUGGCCCGCCCAUUCCAAGCUGGGAGUUGGGCCGUGGAGCUUGGGCGAAGGCCUGGGCUCCCUGGUUCCUAGAGUGGAGAGCACCGCGUAAGGCUGGCUUCACAGAGCAACGAUCAUUUCCCGCUCUCGGCGGUGGAAGGAUAACAGGUCGGUGCCACUUGGAUCCAUCAUGGCCCGCUAGGCAGUCCCGAUUGAACCAACACGUUUUUUUUAUGCUAUUUCAACUUUUCGUUAUUUUUAAUUAAGGGCCUCCGGGUGCCAUGGCCAAUAUCUUAUAAUGGGUUUUUCUUCUUUUUAUUUUUUUUAUAACAAAUGAUAUUAUCUACACUAAAGAGGUUGUGUUAAGCCUCACAAUGAUCUUGCAAUAACUUGGUUAAAAUUCGUCUAUGAUGAUAAUCGAAUAUAAGAGAUCUCACUUACAAGUGAAGACAUAUCAUUAGAUUGUAGUACUAAGUGACAAUGUUUUUUUUUUUCUUUCCCAAAUGAAUGAUUUCAAACUUUGAGUGCAUAGUGGUAUACAUAUGUGGUUAAAAAUAAGAAAAUUUAAUUUUAAACUUUGUAACUUACACGCAAAAAAGGGAUUAAGAAUAUCCUUAGAGACUUUGUUCCGGCUUAAGUGGCUUGGCACAAUUUCAACUUCGUCCAAUGGUGGCGCGGAAUUUGUAUCAAAGAUUACCAUUUAUCUUAUUUUUGUUUGACGGAAAAACUUAAAACAUAUUGUCUUGUGUUGGCUUGCGGACUCGAAUUCAAUCUUUCGUGCAUCAACUAUUUGACGAAAAUGUAGAUGAAUACGAAUUUAUAGAGUACAUUCUAUAUUUUGACAAAACGGUAAUUUAAACUACUCUAAUCUAUGGAGGAAUUAGGUCAGUGUACUGGGUCAUAUAUGAUAAUGUCUAUCCCAAGUUGUUCCAAACUUUGGACAUUGAAAUCCCUUGCUUUUGUGUGCACAAUGAGGAAGGGAGGCCUGGAGAAAACAGUAGGAUUGGAAACGCAAACUUGAUCUGGAAACCAAAAGAGAUUGCUGCAAUCUUUCAUAUGAGGAUGAGGAUCUCCAAAGCAUAAUUGUAUCGGUAGCUCCGGAAAUCACUAAAGGAUAGAUUUUAAUCAAAUGGUCAAAAGUUGUAUAACUACUACUUUUAAAUUUGUUGAAUUCCAACCUAUCUAAGCUGUCAUCAAUUGUCGAGACUAGAUGACAGAUGUUGGUUAGAUCAGUUAGUUAAGCCAGUGGCACUCAAGUUCGAAUUAGAUCGGUUAGUUAAGCCAGUGUGCUCACUGCACUCAAGUUCGAUUUCUUUUUCUCAUAAAUUAGAGUUGUUUAAAAUAUCAUUAUGUUAAUUAAAAAAGAAAGUUUGACAGUAUGCUGUAAUUAGCGGGUUUGGUCACUUCUAUCAUGUUCAUACACAGUGCCUAGUUUGGCUUGGAUUUUCUCUUCUAUAUACAUGAAGUAAAAAAAAUCAACUAGUUCUUAGCCUAAGGUACAUUGAUCCCUUCUAAACGUUGAAGUCUCAGGUUCAAAUUUUCCAUGCUUCCAUUGAUGAAAAAAGGGUACCAAAAAUAGUUCACAAUUAAAUGAUUUAUAAAAAAAUUUGCGUUCACAAGACUGAUUGUUGGUACAUUUCAGAGUCACUAUCACCUUCUAACGUCGGCAUUUGCAAAAGCAAAUUUAAAUUAGUAAAGUGCUUCUGACAUGUUUUUUUUCUUUCUUUUAAAAAGCAGGAAUUAACUUGGCUGCUAAAUUGUUAACUUGGCUGCUGAACAAUUCAACAGCCAGCUUAUACUCAAUUUCAUGUAAACACGUAUUUAAGUUUUGAUUUUUUUAAUUAAAAUUUGAACACGUGUUCACAUAAAAUUAGGUAUAAGCAAGAAUAGCUGCUAAUUGUUGAGCAGCCAAGUCUUGUUCUAAAAAGCAGCAUUCACAUUACUUUCGUGUUUCGUCCAAAAAAAACUUUACUUUCAUGUGAUGUUUUUUACUUUAUGUCAUGAGACUUCGUAAUUAGCUCAUAUUUUCCGAGGUAGUUAAUACCCUUUUCUGAAAGAACCCCAUGACAGCUUUAAAAGGCUGAGAGGAAUAAGGACUCAUAUGCAACCCCUGGGCAUGCCAAUGACACUUUUGACAUCCUGAGAGAUGCAUGCAAGUAUCCUUACUCUAGAAGAUGUUGAACUGUUUGACUUGAUUUUUCAACCUGCGAAUGAUUCUUACUCCAUCGCAGAACAGUUUUUUAGCAGUUGAACAUUUUUAAAUCUAGAGAGAGAGAGAGAGAGAGAGAGAGAGAGAGAGAGAGAGCGAGGAGCUCCAAUGCCUUUAUAUAUAGCCAUGCCCAAAACGAAUGUAUAUGUUUUCUAACUUAGUUGUGAACAUGAGGCUCUUAGUCAUGUCAAUAGUGUUAAGCUUAUUCUGCAGAGACGUAAGGCUAGUCUCUGGUGAUAUCGGCACUGCAACUUCCUACGGUCCUCCUUACAUACGUGAGCAAACAACAUAUUAAUUCAACGCAAUGAAGAUAAAGAUAUCCAAUAUGUUAUGUCAUCAAAGAUUGUGAAUUAGAACUACAUACACAUUUAUUUAUGAUUUUGAUUAACAAUUUGACAACGUAACAUGUCUGAUACUUUGCUAAAAACAUAUAGUUUAGGUUAUAUAUGCUCUAUUUCUUAACUGGUCUAUUAUGAAUGACAAUUCAUUUUUCUUAAUGCCAUUGUAAUUGUUGUGCAGCUACAAAGUGCUUUGGGAGUAGGCAAGACCAAUUCCCUCCGGGGAACCUGUUUGUGGCGGUGAGUGAAGGAUUGUGGGACAAUGGUGCUGCGUGUGGAAGGCGAUAUAGACUGAGGUGCCUGAGUGGACGUAAUAAACCCUGCAAGGGUGGUGCUACGGUGGACGUGAAGGUGGUUGAUCUUUGCAAAAAAUCACCUUGCCCUUCUACAGUAGCAAUGUCAACUGAUGCUUUUGCAGCGAUCUCACACUCUCCUUCUACACGAAUCAACGUCGAAUAUGUCCAGUAAAUAUCUCUACAAACUUUACACUCUCUUAUAGUUCUACUAUUCAUUUUCCUUAUAUAUACAUACAUAUAUAUACACACACACAUACACUAAUAUUUAUGUCGAUGGUUUGAUCUUCAGGAUAUGAAAUCACCUGAACCAGAUAUAUGAUGACCACGUACAGCUGAGGAUAUUAUCAAUUAUACUGGCUUUGUAGUUCAUCUUGAACUCAAGUUUAUAAUGAUAAGAGAAACAUUGUAAUAUUAAUUUGAUACUACCUUUUCUUAGUUUGUCCAUUAGUCUUCAAUAAAAUGAUAUGCAGAGUUAUUAUUAUUAUUUUUAUUAUUAUUUUUUAUCAUACAUCCACAUCCCAAUUAAAACAAAAAUAACAUUACUUAUGUCACGUUUACUAAUCAUAAUGGAAACCACGCUCCCGAUUAGUUUUUGUACUAUGCUUAUAAAUAGGAAAAUGAUAACAACACUUUUCGUACAUAUCCUUUUUUUUUCUUGGGGAUGAGACUAGACUAUACUUGAAGAUGCAAAAUCUAAUACACGACAUAGCCACGGAUACUAGUAAUACACCACAUAAUUAAUGGAGAUUGCUCUCUAGAUCAUCCAAUUAAUUUUGAAUUGGAUGAUCUAGUUCUGUUCUACUCAAUUAUUUUGUAGCCCUUAAACGUGUUUCAUUUAGCACCUAAUCAACCGUACUUAUCCAUCUUGCCCAUGACAGUCACUAUGCAGUAUUGACUUCCUUUCUUACAUACAAGGUAGAUGUCACGGUAAUAAUAUUUCAAGUCAAUUAUGCAUUAUUAUGUGUUAUAACUUUUUUAUAUAAACAGUGUAUGAUUACUUAAGAUACAUCCAAAGUAACAUCCAUUGGAAGAAAGAAGGAAAAGGUUUGGCUAGUAGCUAAAGGCUUUACUUGGAAAGGGGCAACCCGGUCCUCUAUUGCAUCCCCUGUCGUAUCUGUGUAAACAGUUCGUUGUUUCUGGAUUGAUUUGUUUUCUCCACUUUGAGCCAUGAGCGGAAUGUAUCUAUUUUAGCCACGAGUGGAAUGUAUCUAUUUUAGCCACAUGCACCUUAUCGAAAUGGAACCUCCACUGAGUCAAAAGACAAAACAGUGGUCCUAAACAAAACGGAAUGUGCAUGGUUUUGUAGGCUUGUAGCCCUUUUUCAACAAGCUAGGCGUCUUAUUAGGAAUUUAGGACUCAAACAACUGUAUCAUAAUUGAUGAGUGGGAUGAUGUGUGGUGUAUUAUCAUGUCCACUACUGCAACUAAGAACUAUCUGAUCAAUUUUACACAUAGUUUUUUACAUCUCUGCUUCUGGUAUAUGGCCACUAAUUAAUCAACUUUUGGAUGCAUGCUACAUUUUCACGAAUGCUUGAAUUAAUUAUGUAAUUUCACAAGACUCGGUCCUCUUACUAAAUGUAUUCGAUAAUACACAAAAUUUUCUCACACGAUCCCAACUUCCAAAUAUCCUCAUCAUGCUUGUGUUGAGUCGGGCCAGCUCAAAUGGUUGUACUUAAGAUAGAAAGUAGUAAACUUUGUUUCCAAUAUCAUCCAAGGAAAGAACCCCUAUUCACUACAAGAAUCAAGCAGUUCUAACCAUAAUUUAAAUAAACAGCAUUUUCUGCAAGUCGGCAAUACUUAAUUGCCUUUAAUUUAAAUAAGCAGUUCUAACCAUAUAAGUGGCUCCAUAUAUACAUUUAAUUACCUUACAGAAGCGCUUCAGGUUCUCAAUAGCAGUACUUUCUGCAAGUCGGCAAUACUCGUCAAUUGAGUAUGCAGAGCACCCAUUAGCUAGCACGCAAAAAGCAGAUGUGAGCUUCUGAUGAGGUGAUAGACCUUGUCGGCUUACGGCAUCUAGCCUCCUUGCAAAGUAAUGGUCAUGAUUGACAACUGCGUUCAAGAUGCUUUCAAAAAGCUCUCUCCUUAUCCGAAACCGCCUCCGAAAAUCAUGAGCAGGAAAUCUCGGACACUCGAUGAAAUAAUCUUUCAUCAUUAUGUCAUGACACUCUUCUCUGUCACGCUGCACAUAUGAAUGCCCCGUGACAGAACCACAAUGGCUAGAUUCGCCAUGGUGCUCAGAUUGCAUAAACGAGUUGACAAGUUCAACUUCGGCGUUGAACAAUUCUGCAUCCUCAAUCUCGAUCCUUGCUUGGUAUUGUGCCAUCUGCAUUGCCAUGCUAUGCCUUCUUCUAUCACCCAUUGAUGAGACAUUGAGGAUUUUUAGGAAACAAAAACUCUUUGAAAGUUGAAAGAUUGGUGAAUAUAGAGGAUGUUUGAGGGUUGAAAGGUUGUGUGAUCAACAAACAUUGGACAUAUGUUUAUAUAAAGGAUGAUUGAUGAAAGUUGAACGGUUGGUGAAAGUUGAAAGUUUGGUGUUGAACGGUUGGUGAAUUGAAAGUUAGCCCAAGGUUGAAAGAUUGGUGAAAGUUGAAGUCUUGCUUGUGGAAAAUUUAGUGAUUUUUCAAUAUUUAUCUGAAUUUAAAUUUUUUUAGAUUAAAAUGUUCAUAAAAUUAAUUUACAAUAGUCUACAUAUUUAUUUAUUUUUUAAAAAAUUUAAUUUAAGAAAAAAAAUAGUCUAAUUUCAUUCUUUAAUAAUUCCGAACUAAAAGUUUAGGCUAUAACGGUUGGAGUAGAAAAACUAUUUCUGGGCUACAAGCUAAAUUUUUCGGGUUAAAAUAUUUGACUUUUAGCCCAACCAUUGGAGAUGGUCUAAAGGAAGAUGAAUUAUUCUAUUAAAAGAGGUGGGAGGAUUGAGCUAGACCGCACAAUAGGUCAACUACUAAGUAUUGAACUCAACACAUAUAAUACUUUAUCGUCAUUUGUGUGAGUCAAAUAUGAAACUUUUCUUUACUAGUAAAAAAAAAAUACCGUUAGAUUGUAGUACUAUUUAAUAGUAUCUAUUCCUUAUUUAGCCGCCAAACAAUUAAAUAAUGGAGGCAAAUCACGAUUAAAGGCUUGAGAUUAACUUCAAGUCAUCAGAUUCAGAGAAUCAUGAUUUCACCAAUUUAAAAGAUAGAAAAUGUGUUUAUCGACUUCAAAAGUAAGUGGCAUGGUGGUUAUCUCGCGAGGAUCAAUAAUCUCAUGCUAUCCAAAACAAUAAUUUAUUUAUUUUAUUAUUUUCUUAUAGACUGCGAGGUCAAAGAGUCAAAGAUGAUACCAACUGAAAGAGUAGCAACCAAAAUUUCUUUUUCGCAUCUACUUUACGUACACCUCAUUCCUUAUGCAAGCAAAACCAUGUGAUUCUGAUCAAUUUCCCUUCUGCUUUGGUUUCUUGUGCUAGAGUUUUCAAGGAAUUUGUAUUCACAAAAUAGCGUGCUUGUUAGAGACUAACAAAUAUUUUAUAAUUAGUAACAACGUAAUUUUUACAAAAACAAUAUAUAUUUUGACACUAAUUUAUAAAAAAGAGAAUUCAAACUUAGUUGCAAUGAAUUUGUUAUAAAAAAAUAAAAAAAAUAAAAAAAAACUUUGUUGCAAUGAAUUAUUUUCAGAAGCUAUGUCCUUGUUUCGCUAGUUUGUUUGUUUUGUUGAAGAUUUGUAGCUAUUUUUUGUUAUUGUUAUUCCAAAAAUGUCAUUUACAUUGCACCAUUCACGUAGAAAUCCAUCGCCGUGCUUGAAAUUGCAGAUAAUGAAUGAAAAAUCAUAAAAUGUACAGGAAGGAGCAACAUUGGUACAACAAUUCUACGGCUUAGUACGACGACUGCCGCUGUAUGUUCCGUGAAGAUAUAUUUUCAAAUCCUCGGCGUUGUUUCUGGAAAUAAGGAUGAAGACUAUGGACUCCCUCUAGACAUACCGGUAUCUGCAUUUCAAUCAAGCAUGACACCUACACAGAUAAUUCAUCCUCAGUGCACAGGAAGACCAAACCCUUACGAGUGGAAAAGAGAAAGCAAUCGGAAACAAGUGUACUAGAGAAACAGGACACCACUUACUGCUGGACGGAAAGCAAACAUCUCUUCUUGACCAGAUAGCUGGGAUAUUAUACCGGUUGGGGCACCUCCAGAACUCACAUUACCUUCUGCUAAAACAUCGCGGCGAAGUUUUGAACCUUCCGUCUCUGUUUCAAACUGUUAUGAUAUGAAUGAUUUCCUUCCCAUUUGGUAGCAUGGUGAUCGUUGACUAUCAACGUUUUAUUCUUUCCUUUUGUAAAAAUAUUUACUUAGCUGAUUUGUAGGAAUUACGGGAUGUGAUUGUAUCCUUACAGUUUGUAUAAGAACUCUAGCCUAGCUUGUAUAUUUCAAUGAAUCAAUACAUUCUAUUUUUAAGAUGGUACCAGAGAGUCCAAGAUCCUAGGAUUUUUUUUGUUUCCUUGGUUUCUCUUAGUUCCUUUUUCUUCGGUUUUUCUUGUGAGCAAAGUUGUCUUUUUUUGCCAUGGGAGACUCCAAGUCGGUUGAGGUGUUGAACGAUCCCUCAAGCCCUUUCUAUAUUCAUCACUCUGAUAAUCCAGGGAUGCAUCUUGUUUCCACUCCACUUACUGGAAACAAUUAUAGCACAUGGUCUCGUUCAAUGCGUAUUGCCCUUAGCGCAAAGAACAAAUUUGGUUUUGUUGAUGGGUCUGUGAAGAAGCUGUCAGACAACAAAGCAACUGAAGCUGCUCUUUGGCAGUGCUGUAAUGACAUGGGUCUCAUGUGGAUUUUAAAUUCUGUGAGUUCUGGGUUAUCAAACAGUGUGGUUUGUGCAGAAACUGCACAUGCUGUUUAGGAGGACCUCAAGACUCGUUUUUCGCAAGACAACGUCCCGCAAAUUUUUGAGAUUCAGCGUGACAUUGCACGCCUCACUCAAAAUCAGAUGUCUAUGUCUGACUAUUAUUCCCAAUUGAAGGGUUUAUGGAAUGAAUUAUCUUCUUACGGCAGCCAUAAAAACUGCUCAUGUGGUGCCAUGGAAGACCGUAACGAGAAAGAGGAGCAGAAUAAGGUUAUGCAAUUUUUAAUGGGGCUUGAUGAUUCAUAUGCAACAAUGAGAGGUCAGAUUCUGCUUGUAAAGCCAUUACCUUUAGUGCUCAAAGUUUUUUCAAUGGUUAACCAAGAGGAGAAGCAACGUGGAAUUGCAGCCAUCCCACAACCAAGUGUGGAAGGAGCAGCCAUGGCAGUUCAAGGUGGUCGAGGUAAUCAACACAGUCGUGGUAGCCAAGGGAAUCGCAAGCCGCUACAUUGUGAUUAUUGUGACAUGGACCAUCACACCAGGGAGACUUGCUACCAGCUUCAUGGAUAUCCCGAGGACCAUCGUCUCUAUAAAACAGGGGGAGCAUUUGGUAUGUCGCCUUCACAAGUCUUUGUAUGGAUUAAAGCAGGCCUUUCGGCAGUGGUUUUUUAAGUUUUCUGAGGCUAUUUGUGCAGCUGGGUAUACACAGUCCAAAGCCGAUUAUUCCCUUUUUACAAGAAAAGUUGGCAAACCAUUCACAGCUCUCCUUAUUUAUGUUGAUGAUAUCUUGAUCACUGGUAAUGACAUGACGGCUAUUGGUUCUCUUAAAUCUUUUUUGAAUAAACGCUUCCGCAUCAAAGAUUUAGGAGCCCUUUAACAUUUUUUAGGAAUAGAGAUUGCCCGUUCAAAAAAGGGGAUCUUUAUUUCUCAAAGAAAAUAUUUAUUGGACAUUUUGAAAUAUGUGGGUCUUUUGGGAGCACGAUCAGCUAGCUUCCCUAUGGAACAAAAUUUGAAGCUACUUCCUAAUGAUGGAGAUUUGCUUCACGAUCCAUCCAUGUAUCGAAGAUUGAUAGGACGUUUGAUAUAUUUAACUAUUACUAGACCCGAUAUUACUUUUGUAGUGAACACGUUGAGUCGUUUCAUGCAACAUCCUUACAAGCCUCACUAUGAUGCAGCUUUACGUGUUUUGAGAUAUUUGAAUAACACUCCAAGUCAAGUUAUUUUGUUUUCCUCACAAAGUUUGUUACGAUUGAAGGCUUUUUGUGAUGCCGAUUGGGCAGGGUGUCCGGUGACUUGACAUUCUACUACCAGAUAUUGUGUUUUCCUUGGAGAUUCUUUAAUUUCAUGGAAAAGCAAAAAGCAGAAGACUGUCUCAUUAUCUUCUGCAGAAGCAGAGUACCGUUCAAUGGCUGCUACCUGUUGUGAGCUCACUUGGUUACAAAGUCUUUUAUGUGAUUUACGUAUUAAAGAUAUAGGCCCAGCUAUUUUACACUGUGAUAACCAAGCGGCUCUUCACAUUGCCGCUAAUCCUGUUUUUCAUGAGCGGACACGCCAUAUAGAGAUUGACUGUCAUUUUGUUCGAGAUAAAAUUCAAGAAGGAAAGGUAGUCACCAAAUUUGUUCCAUCUUCAAGGCAAGUUGCAGACAUAUUCACGUAGCCUUUAGGAAAAGAACAGUUCCGUUUUUUGUUGAGCAAGUUAGCGAUUUUUGACAUUCACUCGCCAACUUGAGGGGGAGUGUUAUGAUAUGAAUGAUUUCCUUCCCAUUUGGUAGCAUGGUGAUCGUUGACUAUCAACGUUUUAUUCUUUCCUUUUGUAAAAAUAUUUACUUAGCUGAUUUGUAGGAAUUACAGGAUGUGAUUGUAUCUUUACAGUUUGUAUAAGAACUCUAGCCUAGCUUGUAUAUUUCAAUGAAUCAAUACAGAAGAUUAUUCAUACUGUCAUUCUAUUUUUAAGACAAGCUGGAAACUAAAAGCAACAAUUGCACAUGCUCUCAAUAUCAUUUGUUUAAGAAUUAGACCGAAAUGUUACCAGCCAUAACAUUACUAAAAAAUAACCUUUAACAGAAGUGAACACUCACCUCUCCAAAUCAAAAGGAGCACCCUCUUCAGUUCCUUGAAAUAAUUCAUCAAUAGAAGAUGCUGCCGAAAAAAAUAGACGACAAUGCAGCUGUGUUUCUCCUCCUACUCACUAUCAUUCGAACGGUCUGCUCCAUUAUCUCUAUUACUUGAUCAAUCAGCAGUAAAUGUCUCCUCUCCGUCUAGUCGUUUAUCUUUUUGAUCAACUCUCUCUGUAUAGUCUUUCAAAGAGCAAUCUGUAUUGAGAGACUGAGUAAUGUUUGUAUGUACAUGCGUACGUGCGAUGAUGAGUAAGAUCCCUGUAAUUUUUCCAUGAAAGUGUGCUGUGAUGUGUGCAUUGUAAGAGUGAUUGAACAUUGAAGUAGUGAAUUGAGUGCUUCUUCUGUUGGUUUCCUAUUUUUUGUACUUGAUUAUCUCAUACUCCCUAUCCCUAACCUUGUGUGUGUUUCAACGAGGAAUUCUUGACGUUGCAUAGUAGAACUCAUUAAAGCCCGAUUCUCAUCAUCGAGGUCGAUAAAAGAAAUCAACGAAGCACAAACAGACAGAACUUUGAAGAUGAACUUAUUUCCUUUCAAUAGUCAGGAACUAUCAACGGCACUGAGCUGGAACAACCUGUUCUUCCUGAAUAUCUUGAGUCUUAAGGAACUUCAUCUCCGUUUCUAAGAGCAUGUUUGGUAUUCUAUUUAGAAACUUGGACUUGAAAAUUUUGAUUUGUUCAAAGAACAUAGUUCUAACUACAAUUCAUAAGACUCAAAAAUUCAUUUGGUAUGAGAACUUGAAACUUAUUUUUAGAUCACUAUCAAAUAUUCUAAGACAACUCCGCCAUGUAAGUUUAUCUUACAUUGCCGGUCCCAAGCCCGGAUAAAGGAGGAGGGGGAGGGCGUCAGGUAGUCGACAGCCGGCACUCCAUGAUCACGUCGAAUCCUUAUGAAAAUGAAUCCAGAACGAAAUCGCGCUAAAGCUAGGGCGUCACCCGUAAGUGGCGCGCUGUGUGGCCCGAGCACAGUGAUAAGUGAGCAAGGGUCGCUGUAUCUCCAUCAGCACCCGGAUGCAGUGUUAAAUGAGUAAGGGGGCUAUAGAAACUUCUUUUCGAACGACUCCACUCAAAGUUGUUUGGGAGCAUAUGCUCCUAUCAACUUUACACGGGACACACAAAAGAAGUACUUUGAUCCUAUUAGACGGGGAAGGGUGAAGAAGCUAGGACAGAAGGGUAGAGUUCAAGAGCAAAAUGCGUUUAGGAACGUAGAAUAUAGGAACCUUGACGGGAAAAUCUAUGGAAGUAGUAGAAGUUAUGGUGAGGAGAAGGAUAAAUAUUAUGUGCCUACAAGAAACUAAGUGGGUUGGUCGUAAGGCAAAGGAUCUAGAAAACUCAGGGG